rnacentral:rRNA from 1 species
UACGUAGGUGGCAAGCGUUGUUCGGAAUUAUUGGGCGUAAAGGGCGCGUAGGCGGUUUGUUAAGUCGGUUGUGAAAGCCCGGGGCUCAACCCCGGAGAAUCGACCGAUACGGGCAGACUAGAGUUCGGCAGGGGAGACUGGAAUUCCUGGUGUAGCGGUGAAAUGCGCAGAUAUCAGGAGGAACACCGGUGGCGAAGGCGGGUCUCUGGGCCGAUACUGACGCUGAGGAGCGAAAGCGUGGGGAGCAAACAGG